rnacentral:lncRNA from 1 species
UGAAAGGGGAGGGUGGCAAGAAUAGAUUUUAUGAAUAGUUAAGAAGGAUUUCGUUAGGAAAAACAAGGGGCUUGACUUUAAGCAUUUUUCACGCUUUGAAAGGCUGUUUUCCGGCUUAUAUAUUCCACUAAAAUAAAGCAAAGUCGUUUGCUUAUGAAGUCUGUCUGUGGACCAAGGUGACGGCAAAAGAUUGUAGAAUUCCUCUUUUGAUUUUGUUCUCCUCUACCAUUCUUU